CACCGGGAGCAUUUAGUCUAUAUCUGGUAUAUUUCAGAGACACACAAGAUAUUUAUGUUGUGAACAAACAGAGACAGUAUAAAGUCUUUGGAACAAAGCAGUGUGUUUGAAAUUUCUAGUGAAACGCAUAUGACGUCACCACAUUACAUGACUGUGGUCGUCGUGUUUUUACCUCAGUCGCCAUUGGAAACAGUCGGAAGUUGUGCUCCGUCGCCGAACAGAGAGAUAUCAGAGAUAUCCUAUAGAUUGUUGAUUGUUUUCUCUUAAGUUGUAGUAAAUUCGAAUUUGGAAACCGGUAUCGAAUCUGUGUGUUUCCAUAGGAAACAUCUUUGAACUUCAAAUCAAGAGUUCUCGUAGUUAACGUAAUCUAGGAGAGCUCGCUAGCGUGGCCUAAAUCGAACGUCGAAAGAGCUUCACGUUUGCCAUCACUGAAAAACAUGAAGACAACUGACAAGUGCAUGCAGGUUCAGACAGCACGCCUCGGUGAGGGGAUGAAGUUGAUUUUUGACCAAGAGGCUCCAUCUAGUUCUCCCUCCUCUACUUCCCGUUCCAGAAGCCGGAGUAGUGGAAAGAGCAGUCAUGGCACCAGUCGUCACUCAUCCAGAGGCAUUAAGCGCUCUCAUAGGAGAAGUCGCUCCAGAUCUUCCUCUACAUCAGGCAACCGCUCCCGCUCACAUCCGCGUUGCCACAGACAAUCGUCACGCGACCGUUGCCGUCGCCACCGUCAUUCACCACCUCGCCACUACCGGGCACACUCCCGCUCCUACAGCCCCUCCACAGACAAGUCCCACAGUAGAAGGCACAAAGGGUCAAACCGCCAAGACAGACGCCGAAGCCGCUCUCGCUCCAGGUCACCUAACCACAAAAGGUCCAGGUCCUCCGUCCAUCUCCGUCAGGAUGAAAAGAGGGAGCUUCUGAAAAUUGCUGCUGAAAAUGCAGUGAAGGAAAGUGUGAAGAGUGCCCUCCAGUCAGAAACGAAGGCAUCAAAGAGUGCCAGCCCAUCUCCAGAUCAUAGUGCUCCAGUCCAAGAGGAAUGGGUGAGACCAGAGACAGAACGACAGCAGAGUCCAACACAGAAAGUGUAUUUGCAGGCAUCGAUCUGGCCUGGAACAGGCUGCUUAUAAAUAGUCCUCAAAAUGCUGCUUGUUAUUUACAGCAGAGGCUUUGAGUAAUUCGAAUCAUCAACUGUUGUUGAAGAUUACAUGGUCUGCUCUCCAGCACCCCUCGGAUUUAGGAGAGCGAGGGGGCAGUCAUGUGACGCCACUGGGUUUGUGGAAAGGGUCAAUUCUUAAGUCUCAUUUGCACAACAAAAGGUCAAGUAACAGUUGAUGCCUGUAGUGUACUCUGUUUAAGUACAUAUCAGUAGUGUACCUUGUUUAAGUACACAUCUUUGUGUAGCAUGGACCUCUAUCAUUUUAAACUGGAGGCUGUAGCUCGUUCCAACAUGCACAUUAGAAGUAGCCAACGCCAAAUAUCUGACUACAUGUAACGUAACAGCAGGAUCUGUUCAUGCAUAACAGAAACGUUUGAUGAUUGUUGCUCUUGGUUGAAACGGAUGCGUUGUUAUUUAGCAGAGCCAUCCUCCAGCUUGCAGAAGAAGUGCAGGCGCUUGGACUGCGCUAUAGUGACUAUCCCUGACCUGAAAACUUAAAACAGAAGAAGAAACAACUCCCCUCCCCUCUCCAUGUACCAAAGAUAAGUUUGUGCCCAUGUUGUGGUGCAAGAUGGGGUACGGAAACAGCAUCAUCAGUGAAAGGAUCUUUUUAUUUUUGUGCAGUUUUCAUUUUUUCCAUCAAAUAUGUACUGUAACUAACUGGUCUAAAAGGUCUGCGGUUGCCCAUUGGCAGUAGUGCAGACAGAACUCCAUCUUAACACUGCAGACAUUGAUAUUCUGUCACAACUAUACCUGUACUUCAUGGCCUUAAUGACUGAGAUAGUCAUGCAUGGAUAAGUUGUCUAAUGACAAGAAGAAAAAAAAAAGAGAUGGGGAAACCUGGGGGGGAAAAAUAAGUUUGGGAUCACUUUGUUAAACAAGUCUGUUCCCCAUGUCUUUUUGGCAGGUCACAGACUCUGCGUCAGAAGAUGGCGAGUUGAGCCCCAAGGCGUCUCCCAAGAGAAAACCCAUCACAUUCAGCAUCAAUAACACUUUUGCAAAGCCAACAAAUGGCAAACCUCAGGGCAUGGGAGAGGUUAAGGUAACAUCCAGGGUCGACAUCGUGGGCAGCAAAAAGCCUUACGGGCACUGGAUGCCAGUCAAGAAGAGGGGCCCUUUUUCAUCCAAAAAGUAGAAAGCUUGCUAGCCGUGUGUGCUUCAACACAUGGACUUUGUAAAUAUUGUAGAUAUUGUAUAUAAAUGUGUUGGCAGGGUGGGGGUGAAAGGGGUGUAUGGAAUACAUCUUAGAUGUUUUCUUGCAGAUGUACAGUAGAAACAGUUGAGGGAAUUGUGAAGAAGGCAAGAGGAAAAUCUACAGGUGGGAUAUUUUUGUGACAUAUCUGUGCUUUUAAAUAAAGACAUUUUAAAAUGGA